CAGAGGCUCAGAGCAGCUGCUCUGGCUCGUUCUGGUUGUCAUCUCUAACAGGAGGAGCAGGAGAGCAGUAGCUCUCCGAACCUUCCCUCCCUGGGGUGCAGACGUCCUCAAAACGGGGGUGCAAGGCUUCUCCCAGAAUCCUCAGGUAUUCAAGCACUAAAAGACCAAAGGAGGAUUACUGCUCUUCUGAGAACCUUGGAAAGAGCUGGAGCAGUAGUUAAGUAGUAACUUUCAACUGAUCUCAGCAGAGAAGGGUCAGCUGAUAUUGGCGUGAUUUGACACCAUACCUGAGUGGCACAUGCAAUAUGCCUAUGUAUGGAAACAAACAAAAGACUUCGUUGCCAAGAAAGGAGCACAGUCCUAAAUUAUACAAACUUCAGAGCUACGUAACAACGGCACUUGCCCGCAGCAGCAGCUUGCAACGAUGGGAGAGAAAAGGGCCAAAGCGUGAGACAAAGGCAAAUACAAGUUUUGAGGCUACAGCAACAGUUUGUCAACAUCUCUGUCAACUUUUCAAGAUGCAAUUCUUCAUCUUCAUAAUGAGAUGCAAACUCAACGCAUGGCAUUUGCUCUGUGGUGGGCUCACUCUUUCUCCCCAAAUACCUCAAUGACCCUUAGUUUGUCACUGGAAAGCUACCAAUCUGUCAGUCAUGACUUCUGAUGCCUCACCAGUAAUUCCUUCUUUUACCUUCCAAAGGCGAUUGCUGAAUCCUUCCCACUAGCAGCAAAUCAAUCUCUGCAUUCUGUGAGAUUCACCUACUGCUUUCAGGGCCUCCUAGCCAAACUCCUCCUCCGUGCCACUCCUCGAUUCACUGGUAACAGUGUUCAGGAGCUCUUUGCCAGUCCUGCUUUGCUCUUACUCUCUCAGAUGGAGCUUAGCUAAGAUUUCGGUUACUAGUUACUACCUUCUAUCCUAACAAGACUCUUUCCCAUUUAUUAUGGCAAAAGAAAGAUCGAAAGGAAAACAUGAACAAAUUGGAAGGCAGCAUAAAGAAUAAAAUUUCAAAUAUGUCUGCAGCACAUAUUUGCAUGGCAGAUACCUCACAGUUGUUUUGAAAUCCUGUUUCCUUUUCAAAAAUCUCCCUUAGUGUUAUAAUAGCAAAUUUAUGUAAUUAUUUAAAACAAUUCCUUAUAGUUUUGCUGCCUGCAGAGCAUACCAAGAACCCCACUGUCUGAAUAUGAGUUGGCUUAGUCUUUGCUCGCUUCCAUAAUUAGUGGACACCUCAAGCAGGGAAAGGAAACUGGCUCAUCCCUUUCUGUCAGCUUAUUCCCUUCUUUUAACUCACUUUUGCAAGCUGGUGUGCUAGAAAGCAGCAGCAAUCCCCACCCACCUACAAAGCAGUGAGAAUAACUUAAUCCAAUAUUGAUGUCAAUCUACUUUACAAAGAAGAGCUGCACAACUGGAUGGGGAGAGAACAGCGGAAACUUGCCCACAGCCACGCAGGUGACAGCGGCAGGGCAAAGCACAAAACGUCCCGCUCCAAGAUUUAGCUCACGAUCCCCCAAUGCUGCAACGCUGGGCUUGUUUUCUUUCAACCCUCCAAUGCAAGUCCAUUAAUAAGGUGACAGCAACAAGAAAGUACAAGGGAGUUUUAUAGCUCCUUAUUAGUCCUGAUGAACAUGUAGACUGAAUAAGCCUCUCCAUGUCUAUGCAAAAUCUAGAAGGCAUAUAACUAGUAAAUUCAAAACAGUGUAAACAGUACAAAUACAUUUUCUCAAAACAGGCCACAUUUCAUCUAGCAAGAUUACUUUGGACUUAGGUUUUUCACAUAACUUUUUCCCUUGCUCUCUUUUUGUCCCAGUAAUUCUAAUCAAUAUGUGUGUGCGUGUGUAGCGUGCGCGUAUUUCAUUCCUCUUCUUACUACAAUAGAAUAUGUCAUAAAUGUAUGCCUCUCUAAAAUUAGAAAAUGUGUGCGAUGCCUCUUCUGCUUUGAACUACAGGCCUGCAAUAUUGAACAGGCAAAUGUUUUCUGGUAGAAGCAGUAUUAUUCUCUGUGGCUGUGUGCUGCUGAAAUGUUUAUCUUAGCUCAAGUUGCCUGGCUAUUGCAAAGCUACUUGAAAUGAUUCAUGGGUCUGACAGAUGUCUGGUACAGCUGGAUGUGUCCUUGAUUAUCCCAAAAGUCUGGACAACACUGUCAUUCACCAUUGCCCAAAUUAUCUCUGUAUUGACUGCAGAAGCCUCUGUGACAGUGCUGUAAUGGCUAAUUACCCAGGAUACCUUUGAUACUUACUUUAUGAUGGUUUAGAAGAGUUAAAAAAAAAAAAAAGAGAGAGAGAGAGAAACAGACAGACAGACAGAAUCGGAGGAAAAACAUAUCAAUUAAAGUUAUAUCCUAUUCUUCCAAAACAAUAUAUGCUUUAGCCUACAUCAGACUGUGCUGCAUAGGCUAAUUAAAUCCAGGCUGUCCUUUUAAAAGGGACAGAUUUUCAGCAAAAUAGAUAAGGGGAAAAUGUAAAGAAUCCUGACAAUGAUAAAUCAUGGACAAUAGAAGGAGCUAUUAGCCAGGAGAGAACUGUAUGUAGAACACACUUGGAAAAAAAAAAAAAGAUGAUGAGCAGCCAUUUGCCUGCUUUAUAUGUUGCUGGAAAAAAGAACAUGUUCUGCUUAGCAAAUAACAAAGAGAGAGGCAUGGGUAGUGAUGCUAAAUACGUGUAUAUCUAUCUUGUAAAACUGUCUAUGAAAGGUUUAAAAGCAGAGGAUUUCCUUUCCCCCACAUAUUUUGAAAAACAUGGUUUCUGCAAAGUAGAAAUAUAUUAGGGAAAGGAGCAAAGGAAGAUAGGAUACAAAAAUCUCAUUUUGAAUUUUAGUGAACAUGAGUUUUCCCAAGAGAGCAGACAAAACACCACAAGAAAAGCCUUUUACAAGAGAGAAUACAGUAAUUUGCCACAUCUUGCCCAAGUCGGCUGGAAUGCUACUCCUGUCCUAAUUACUAGACUAACAAAGCUAUUCUCUGCUAUUCAGGACUUCCUCUACCUUAAUUUCCCUAAUGCCAGAAAACAGUCUUUCCAUCCUACCAAGAACUUGAAGCUGUGUUACGGACUGACUUUGAGUCAGGCCAACUGUGACAUGGAAAUUCUCCGGUGUUAAAGACAACAUUGAGGAAAAAAAAAAAAAAAGUGCCAUGGCACCCAGAUUAUCUAGAAGGGCCAUGAAAAGGGAGAUGUCGUUUGGUGACAUCACUUAACAGGCAUGCCACUUCUUAAUGACAGCUUAGAUGAAAAAUUGCAGCAAAUUUCUGAUUUUUCUGGCUGCCUCUCUCUCUCUUUAUCUCUUUAUAACCCAGCCUAGAUCUAGACUGGAAAAGCCUGUCACCCUUUUCCACCUGGGUUUCAAAUGAUUCAGAAAUUAUCCAAGAUCCAGAAUGGCAGGUUGUUCCCAUGAAGUUAGUGAUGAAAUUCCCCUUAGCUUUGAUGGAAGAAGGAUUUACUUUCCAGAACAUAACUUUCCCAUGUAUGUCUAUCUCCACUGCAUCCAGUGCAGGAACAGGGUAGGAACAGUGACGUUCUGCUACGGGCAACUUUUGAUACUGUCCAAAUUCCAAAUUAGAGUUUGGUGACCCAAUAAUUUGGUAAUACCAGAGUAGGAGAAAAGAAAAAGAAAAAAACACUUUUUUGAUUAGGCAUUCUUCUUGUGUAUUCAUUUGUCCUUGUUAUCUCUUAAUAUAAAUCAUUUAUUUGUAAGCAAUGUAAUAAGUUAUUGACCAGAACACUUAGAUGUCACUUAAAAAUUUUAGGUAAUUUGCUCUCUUACAAAUCAAAAAUGAAUGGCUGAACUCCAGCAACUAAAAUAUGUUGUCCUUCUUUUUUGUCAAGUUCUUCAGAGCUUACAAUUUUUUUCAACUGUUGUAACUGUUAAGUGAGGUCAUUCACUAAAACAUAUCUAUUCAUGCAAAAAUGACAUUUAGAAUGUUUGCUGUUUAAAAUACAAGGCUUAUUAGUUCAUCUUAUUUGGGUAAAAUAUCACAUCCUAUUAUUUGCAUUUCUUACUGUUGCAUAUUUUUUUAAAUUAGAGUUCUGCUAUUACUUGAAAUUCAAAAUUUUUCUUUUUAUGACUCCAUUAAUAUUUCCUUACCUUUCAUUAAUACCAGAAGUACGCCUAUUUGUCAACCGCUAGUAUACCUGCAGCAAGCAAGAAAAAAAAAUUCAAUAUUUUUACCAGAGCAACUGCAAGCAAUCAUAGGAAACUUCUUUGCAUGUUUAUAGCACUGCAGGUAAAAAGACAACAUAUUAAAAAAGUGAAAUAUAAUAAAAAAGACUAUUAAAAGUGAAAUAUCAUUUCCAGUCUCAGUGAUCAGGCUUUUGCAGGCUCAGAUAUAACUGUGUGUGGGCAAAACAAAGGUCUAGUUACUGCAAUGUGAACUAAAUCCUGACUGUUGUGAAAUCUUGCACUAACUCAGCUGCAAUGCAGGACAAAUGUCUAGGUAGCAUAGUCCCACUGAUUCAGUGCAGCAAGACUGAUGCGCAUCAGCUAAGGACCUGUCUUGACAACGUAUAUUUGAAAACAAAUCUAAGCAAUAGAAAGGUUUCGUUUGAAUAAAAUGGAGUCUAAUUCAAAUCA